GAUCGUUUGGCCCACCCGUCAGCUCCACUUGCUGACCUCCAGUCCUCCACCAUGAAUCGGGUAUUCCCAAUCUCGUGUCCUCGGAGCGCCCUUCCCUCCCAGCGCCGCCGCCUCUUGCCCUCACCGUCUGGCUCGGACGGGGAAGCACGGCUGCGUGGAGGAGGUCUCGAUCUAACGCCCUGUGAUCUCGCCGUCCCAGUCUGACAAGCAGCGGUGGCCAUCUCCAUUCUAUGCGGCGGCCCGUCUGCCUCCCAGAUCCGGCCGGCGCUGCUUGUCCACGGCGGCCAGACCAAGAAGACCGACCAUGGGGCGUUUGAAGAGGACGGGAUGCAAAAGGGUGGAAGGAGGAUCAGUCAGUUCAACAGUUUCAAGGACUUCAGCAACAAAUUUCUACGAGAGGAACAAGAAGAAUAUUGUUAGUUUCUUAGAUCUUGUUUGUUCGUCGACAUGAGAAGGCAGACGAAGCCACGCAGAAUAAGUUACAGACUCUUCAACUGUAAGCUGUGGGGAAUGGUUUGAUGAUUCCACUGACAUCUUCAAGAACGUUGGUUUUUGCUCUUUCCGUUUCGAAGCCUAGCAACUUCACGAGGCCCUGUAACUCAAAUGAAAACGGUUGCUUCAGAUGCUGCUAUUUGGUGCAUAAUAAAAAUCAAUCAUUUCAGAGGUUUCUUACCGAGAAGGCACCUUUGGUACUAUUCCAUAGAGAUGGCAGGUGAUUUCCUUUAGUAACUCUGCACUCUGCCUCCACAAACAGAUUAUUAUACCUCACCUCUAUUGCUGGCAACUUGACAUCAACCCUGUGGAAAUGGAUCACAGGGGAAAAAUAAACAGUUGCAUAAACAGAGUCUAAUCUUCAUCCAGUUACUUAGAACAGUGUUCUGAAAAAGAAAACAUGCCUGUCAAUUCUUUCCUUUUGUCCGCGCAGAAAGCGGAGGUGGUCGUCUUCGAGGUUCUUUAGCAGCACCAUUCUGGCGCUGUCGCGAUGCCAAUUCUAACUCGGACUCAUCCGGGCGCUCGUCACUCGCACAGGCGGUGAAAUCUUGAUGGUGGGAUGAUGGGUUGGUCUCUCUUGCGAGGCCCUCCAUCUCAAGAUGGGUGAGUUAAAUCGACGCCCUUUGCUAUUGCCUAGCCGUACUCUAAGCAGUCAUUUCCUUCUCUUUAGAGUACAUAUAUAAGGUUUUGGCGAGCAUGUACGCACGCUUUUUCCCAUACGGACAUCAUCAGUCAGAAGAGUUGGAAAGACCAGUCAUGUGUUGACUUCAAACUAACUAUUAGCAUGGAAACGCACAUUCUGGAAGAUGACAGCCAUAAGUCAUGUAUUAUAUGGUACUGGUGAAGACUUCACAGUACUCCUGAUUCGGAGACCUGAUUUGCCUUA